GUCGGAAGGUUGCCAUCUGACUAGGAUCUCAGCUAUAACAACUAAGCGCUGCUCACCUUCUCCAAUUCCAACCAAAGUAGUCGGCCACCGAGCUCUCUAGCGUUGUCACGCUUCUCGCGCUAGAGGAAGCGUCCAGAACAUCCUAAGAGGUUUCGUCUCCUAAUCACUAUAAAGUCUCAAAGGGUGCAGCAACACCUUCUAAUCUCUAGCCAAACAUGCUGGAGGUGU
rnacentral:lncRNA from 1 species